CUUCCUCAACAUUAUACUUUUGCAGCAUCUGGUUCGUUCUUCAUCGUUCUCCAGGUUCUUCAAUUCAUAACUCCUGAGUUCUCUAAUUACUUUUAUUUACAUUCAAGUUAUUUAUUGGAUUCCCGCUUGCAUCAAGUGCUCUAGUCUUUGAAACAUUAGAGUAGUAAUUAAUAGAUUAGACGUGGUGUUUAGUCUUGCGAUUACCUGGAAUUGCACCCAAUCCUGCGGAUUGUUGUGGUAGCCUUAGGGUAGUGACAGCCCUAACGGUCGACGUAUUCCACCUUGUUCGGAUCGGUGUUUGUAGGACCGUAGUCAGAGCUUCCUAGCCCCCUUCUCAUCUCUUUCUGUGGUUAGUGUUCUGAUGUCCCGAUAUAGAUAAUCUUGAAGUAAUUCUUGAUUCUUAGAUCAACUAGAGAACUCUCAGGAAACUUCCUCUCUUCCCACCAAAAAUAAUUAUAUAGUUAUCCUUGGGCGAUCAUGGAUCUUAAUUAGUACACUCACGUUCUCUGUGGAAAAUCGAUACUCUGGAAUACUCCCGGAUGAAGGCUACAUCGGUAUCCGUGCGCUUGCGGAUUUUUCUGUUUGCGUUUAAAAUACCCAACAAGCUUUCUGGCGCCGUUGUCGGGGUACGGUAGCUGUGCUAGUUUCGAACCAAGUCGUCCGUGUAUCCUUUUUCUUUUCCUUUUUUACCACACUCACCUUAUCAUUUUCACCAUACCACAUGGAUUUCACUCUAAGCAUCAAUGAGCAUGGAAUUUAUUUCAUAGCCACUUCAUUUACUCCAUGCUCAUAUGCAACAUCUUCACAAUCCUUUGGUCUCUCCAACAUCACCACAUUCGAGAUCUCCAACCCCCUCUUACUUUCUAUUCAUAAAAACUUUAAAAGGGCGGUUGUCGAUGCAUAUGUCUAUAAUAAAUUUUGCAGAUCUCGUUGAGUUGAUCUUGAUAUAAGUCAGCAUUGGAGGGGAAACCACUUCGCUGACAUAAAUUAAUGGUUUCCCAAGGACAAGCUUAGUGUCCUAAAACAAGCACUGAUCAGAUCGUAACAUGAGCUUUUAAUUAUUUGCAACAUUACCUUGUGUUUUGAGCAUAUAAGGAUAAUUGUAAAAAAAUUCCUUCGGGUAUUCUUGUCACUAACCUUUCUAGGAUUGGAGCAAGAAGAUCGGAUGAAUGACAAGCACAAGGUAUGUCUAGCCAAUCAUCAUACAACAUUGAAUUAAAUUCAUCCAAACUUGAAUUUUGCAAAAUUCAAGCUUGGGGGAAUACUUUACAUAAAAACAUCCUUUGCCAUGUUGCUAUGUUGGUUGUCCCUACCUUUGAGACAUGCUCAAUUUGUUAAAUACUAAUCACACUACUUCAUCUCCACUUGAGUAGAUCUCUAUAAAAGCUCUCAUGCUACCUUUAUUUGCUUGAGUAUAUGUCUAGGUUUGGAGUAGUUUCAUUUAUCUCUUAAUUAAGCAUGGUGCUUAGUUUAGGGCUGAUGAUCUUACUUCCAAGGGAGUUUAAAUUAAGCAUGAUGCUUAUGUUAAAAUGCCCUCCUAAAUCAAAUUAGACAUGGUGUCUAGGUUGAUCUUUGAGCCAAUAGUAUGCUAUAGUAGAUAUUGGAUAUUUUGUUGGACUAACCCCUGCAGGAAAACUUUCAAUAUCGACCUGGGAAGUCCUGAGAUAAACUCACAUUGGAGACAAAGAGAGACACACAUGAAGUUUAACAAUUUACACAAGGAAGACAUAGCUCACAAGAGAUGAUCCAUGGAGGGUGCCACCAACACGAUGCACACCCGCAAAGAAAGGAAAGCUUCCAUAAGGUAAUACUGUACCAUCACUCUUCAAGUAAGGUAACAUCUUAAAGUACUUGACUAUCACUUCUAUAAGCUUCUCCUUGGUUCUGGCGUUCACAUGAAUAAAAGAGACAAGCAUGUAUGAUCUACAACUCUAGAUUAACCAACCCAAUCGAUUCAUCAUGUUUAAUCCUUCCACCUUUGUGAUCCCACACUCCUAAUCAUAUGAACUAAAAUGUGCACACUCAAUCUUUAGAAGAUAUAUAUAUAAAAAAACAUAAAUAUAGAUAGAUUACCUUUCCAUUAGGUUGAGCGAUCUGAUCUGACAAAUGUUUUAAAUGCUACACUCAUGAUCUUAUUAUCCAUCAACUUUGUCUUGCUCACUAUGCUUAAGGUUAGAGAGAACAAAUACACUUUUGGUUCUGUUGGUGUUUUCCACCAACAGGGCCCAUGCACUUGAUCUCUGCCUUGUCUCUAUGAGCAGGUACACUUCGAGCAAAAUAUGAAGGACUUUUACAACUCCCAGACUCCACCAAGUGAAGAACCUAGAUCUACGAGCACAAACACACUAGAGAUACUAGACACUCAGGCAAUCACUACCUUGAGAUGCUUGAGGACGUAACUACUGGAGUAACCCCGUUGUGGAAGUAAUUACUGACCUUCUGCCGGUCAAGAGAGGCAAUCCAGGACGCACCGUCAUCCCGAUCUCCAUUGGCAUGGUGGAUUUCCCAGAAGCACUCUGCGACUUUGGCUCCAGCGUCAACAUUAUGCCUAGCGUACUCUAUGAAAAAUUCUUUACACAUCCUUUCCUAGAAACAACCAUGUGUUUGCAGCUUGCAGAUCAGACACUAAGUUUCCCAAAGGGAAUAUUGAAGAACCUCUACGUCCGAGUUGGUACCUUAUAUGCUCAAGCAGACUUCGUGGUGAUAGAGACUCAUACUGAUGAGAGGGCAUCCAUCAUCCUAGGGAGGCCAUUCUUGAACACCUCGGGAGCUGUCAUCUAUGCUAGUGUUGCUAAAAUCCAUUUCUACAUCAAGGGGAGGAAGGAGACAUUUUCCUUCAAGAACAAGACUACACAAAUCUCAAAGCAAUCCCGACAUGAACCAAGGAAGAGGACCAACAGGAGGAACAUGAACAAGAAAAUGUGGACUGAGACGGUCACUGCAGCUCAAGGAGGUCAAGAUCGUCAACUCAAGUCGCCUUUCUUGAUCAAGAAGGACGACCCUGGUGUUCCAAGCAUCGAGUGCACAAUCAACGGAUAUUCUUUUUAGAAGACACUCUACGACACCGGAUCUAACGUCAACGUAAUGGCCGCAGUUACUUAUCAGCUCCUGCAUGGAACCAUGUCCCUACAACCAACAUACAUUCAGCUCUAGAUGGCAGAUCAGACAUUCUGAAAGAUUGAAGGUUAUUGACAUGGAAGAAGACAAGUACGAUCCACCCAUCAUCCUUGGAAGACCGUUCCUCAGCACCGUUAAAGCAAUCAUCUACAUUGGAACUGGAGAAGUCCACAUGCAUUUCCCCUCUGAGAAGGUACGCCGCUAUUUUACUGACCCUAACUAUAUAGUUGAAGACUCUAAGCAGGUCAGGACAAGAAGAAGACGACGCAACCGCAACCAGAGGAGGCAAAUUAUCAAGGACGAAUGGGCGGACUAUGAAGGAGAAGUGGUAAGGUCUGAAGACAUACAACUUGAAUAGAACUGUCCUGAGAAGACCAUACAACCGAGUUAGGUGUGUAGAGAGAAGAUAGUUAUACAUGAAGAGCAGAACCACCGACUACGCCAUCUAGCGAAUCCCAGGACAACUGAGAAAAUGGAGAGUCCCGUUCGGAGGACUUAAAAACACCGAACGCCUUGCCAAGAGGUAAACUUGGUAGUUAUCUUUUUCCUUUCAAUUAUUUUAAAAUAGUUUGCUUAGUUAAUCAGGUUCAUAUCAUCUUGAAAAGAAAAUAAAAAUGUUAAAAAUAGUAAGCCCCAUGUGAGUAUGCUCAUGGCAUAAAACCCAUAAGUACAUCCACUGUGGUGGCGUAAAAAUGAAAUAAGUAUAUUCCUGUCCUAUAAAAAAUUAAAUUAUAAAAAUAAAUUUAUGAUCCUACUAAAGAGAGUAAUAUUUAUUGAGGAGGCUCAACAUGAUAAAGGCUAGAUAUUUAUGCUAACACAUAACUAGUUCCACAAAGCUUUGUUGUCUAUUUGAGCUCCACAGAAUUCAAGGAUCAAAGAAGACUAGCAGACGGAGGACAUCCUAAUCGCUGUCAGGGUGCUGCUGACAUUCAAAUACACCUCCACCACUUGCUAGCUACAUUAGAAGAAACUUCGUCAAAAUCCAGCUUGGGGGAGAGCACCCCCAUUUAUCCAGCUAAGUGUUCUACUCAUCUUUAUACUUUACUCUAAUAAUAAAAAGAUGCAUAAUCAUAUAAACCCAAAUAAAGAAUUUGUGCUUAUAUAUAUCUUUGCUUAGUUUGCUAAUAAAUAAAUAAAUAAAGUUUGCUAUGAACCCUCAUAAUAAGCUCUCACAUGGAAAUGAUGAAUAGUUGCUCUACCAUGACUAGUUAUCAAAAUUGAAAUCUCUCUCAAGUUUAGGCAUGACUGUUAUUAAUUAAGAUUUGCUCUAAACCUGAACUUGUGGGGAGAGUACUUGAUCUAAAGUCUAAGUAGUUAACGGAUAUGAUAUGGGAAGGUUGAGCUGCUGUCUAUCUGUUCCUAGAGAUGCUAGAAUUCUGGAGAAUUUAUCUUUGAAAAAUCUUUAAAAUGUUGCAUGAUGAGUUCCUGUAUGAUGAGAGUUUAAAUUCCUACCACAGCCAUUUAUACAUGCUUGUUAGACUAUGAACCACACAUUUACUUUUUACUGCUUAUGAGCGUUGAGUGUGGUCAAGCUGUGUAGACCCUUAGGAGCUUGUCAUGUGGUUAAAUCAAGAUUCACUUGCACGUUCAUUCAUAUAUGCUACUUCUACUCUGGGAGUACCAUCCACAUAUAUCCAUCCAUUUCCAUCUCCAGAAUCACCUAAAAAUGUUCUACUCCUAAUCCGGGAGAGAAUAGCCAAAAACAUUUCUGUUUUCCCCUGUGAAAUAAAUGCUCAAGUUAUCUUGUUACUACCACUUGCUAUAUUAUUUCAGGAGAUGAGUGCUCUAAAAAAAGAAAAAAAAAAGAAAAAAAAGAAAGAAUACGAGGAAAUAAAAAGGGGCAAGUGCCCGGAACCUCGAAAGAAAAGAAAAAAAAAGUGAGACGAGAGGUAAAAAUGGACAAGUGUCCGACAGUAGAAUUAGGGAUACAAGAUACCCACCUGAGAGGAAAGAAAAAGAAAAUAUAGAGCAUCUCAUUCUCCUCAAAAAGUUUCAAAAGAGCAAGAAAGGUAUGUAUCCCCUCAAAAGAGCAUAAGUAGAAUUAGACUUCCACCAUUGUUAUCACCUUCAUCACCAUACACCAUUUAUUCGCCACAUAUGCACAUCUUGAUUUGACUUAUUGACUUGUUCUUCUGGAUCCAUGGUUUGACUAUGCAAUAAAUGUCUUGUAUAUGUAUUAGCUGUCUCCCACCUAUGAGCUCCAGAUAUCAAAAGCCUUAUUAGAGUAGGGUGAGAGAGAAGGCAAUGCCACUAUGCCUCAUACCAAAAAUACCACAUACUUUGAGAGCAGGCAUACACCAUUACUGCCUUGGUAAGGAUCCAGAAAUACCACAAAAGAGAGACUAGAGAGAAUCAUACAAGGAAUCUCUGAGUUUCAUUUGAAAAUCUGUAAAAACUCCUGAGCUAUAGUUAAUCGAAGAACAAGAGACAUGGCGCUUGACUAGACCGUUCUAUCUUUUAACUACUCAAGACACAGGUGACGGUUACAAGCCCCAUGGUGGAAGGUACAAUGGGUAAGUUUAAAUCUUAACAGUUUACCCUAAUCCAGAGAUGAGAUCUUGUUUGAACGCAUGUGUAUCUUUAAGUUAUGAAACCACUGCAGAAACUCUUGAGUUCAUCUUUGCUCACGGACGAGCAAAGGUUAAGCUUGGGGGAGCUUGUUGACGGUCCUUAAUGCUCACAAUUAACCAUCAACUAAUCAUAGAAAAGGAUCCAAAUGCAACCAACACCUAGACUUAGGGUUUUAUCUGACAGAAUUCCACGAGUUUUGGUGUUUGUCUAUUUCUGUAGGGGGUUAUCAGGAAAUACGGAAGAAAGGCCCACACGUCGGGUUUACAUAGAGAUAUUAACGUGCCGCACAAUUAUCUACCAUCUAGAAGACUCCAGAAGCCACGGGACCGAAGCGGAGGCCGAGAGGGCUCAGGCACUGGGCGCCCGCCCUACCUUACUGGGCGCCCGCCCUCCCCCCUGGACCAAACAGAGUCCAAUUCGGGGACAACGCUCCACCGACCUAAUACUUCAAGGAAAACCACACGAUCAAUGUCGGUUUGAUCCGACGGCCCAGAUUCACUUGAAGGGACUAUAAAACCAGACCCCCUGGCCCCUGGAGAUCAUACCUCUUCUACAGAAUCAAAGCUAGGGUUUCAAUUCUUCAUCCAAGUAGAGAGGAUCCCUCUAGUUCUUCUAGUUCUACCUCUAGUUCAUCUAGAUCUAGUUCUAGUUCACCUAGUUCUAGUUCUAGUUCCUCUAGUUCUAGUUCUAGUUAGUUCUAGUUGUAAUUUAGAAAAUAGGGAGAGAGAAGAGGAGAGCGGAGGAGGAGCCGGAUCUGUCGGAUCUUCCUCAACAUUAUACUUUUUGCAUCAUCUGGUUCGUUCUUCAUCGUUCUCCAGGUUCUUCAAUUCAUAACUCCUGAGUUCUCUAAUUACUUUUAUUUACAUUCAAGUUAUUUAUUGGAUUCCCACUUGCAUCAAGUGCUCUAGUCUUUGAAACAUUUGAGUAGUAAUUAAUAGAUUAGACGUGGUGUUUAGUCUUGCGAUUACUUGGAAUUGCACCCAAUCCUGCAGAUUGUUGUGGUAGCCUUAGGGUAGUGACAGCCCUAACGGUCGACGUAUUCCACCUCGUUCGGAUCGGUGUUUGUAGGACCGUAGUC
rnacentral:lncRNA from 1 species